AGGGCUUUAGUUUAAUUAAAACAUUUGAUUUGCAAUCAGAAGAUGCGAAGUAAUAUUUGUAGGUCCUA
rnacentral:tRNA from 1 species